GCCGGACGGCUGCGCGGUAUCACGCCGAAAGGUAUUACCGUGAGGAAAGUCCGGGCUUCAAAGGGCAGGAUAGCUGAUAACAUCAGCCGCAGGUGACUGCCGGGAAAGUGCAACAGAAAUAAACCGCCCGCUUUGCGGGUAAGGAUGGAAACGCGGGGUAAGAGCCCACGAGUUCCCGUGGUAACACGGGUCCGCUGUAAACCCUAUCCGAAGCAACACCGUAUGGAGAUCGUUUGCCCGACACAUAUCUCCGGGUGGCAUUGAGCGAAAGCUCAUGAGCGUACCGGCGACGGUGCGCAAAGAUAGAUGGCCGUUCAAGACAGAACCCGGCUUAUAGGUAAAG
rnacentral:RNase_P_RNA from 1 species